UCUCCUGUAGCUCAGUGGUAGAGUGUCUGACCGGUGUGCGGAAGGUCAUAGGUUAGACUUCUGUUGGGGGAA
rnacentral:tRNA from 1 species